GCAGCUCAGUUGGUAGGACCUGAGGCUUUUAAUCUCAAGGUUGUGGGUUCAAGCCCCACGUUGGGCA